CUGGAGAAGCUGAGAGCUCCAUAGCAUUGGACUGAGAAAAGCCUCUCAGAGAGAGACAAUUUCUUGGCAGAAGAGUUCAGGGAAGGUUACUGUACAGUAGAUGUCUGCAAAGGACACGGGAGAAGGUGUAUAAUUUAAAAGGCUAUGAUUUAUAUAUGCCUAGAGAAGCAGACAUAUCCUGGAACUUUUGUGGAAAUCCUCAUUAAGAAUGGAUACAGCAACUGCAGACACUGAUGAUGAGGGGCAGGAUGAGGAGGCAGAAGGGACCUUGGAAGUCCUAGAGAAAAAGCCUGCCUAAGUACCCAGCAGACCCAGUUGAGAGAGCCCACAUCAGGAGAACCACAGCAGGAACCGAGGCUGUAUCUAGUUUCAGAUGCUCCAAAAAUGAAGAUGAAAGAAAUGCCAUCAUGGAAAAUAAUGGCAUAACCUCCAGAAAAGUGAAGUUACUUCCUAGCUCCCAUCAGUUACUGUUUGGCUUACGUGCUUAAAGCAGAAAUUUUUAAUAUAUAUAUUUUGUCCUAUCUAAUAUAUAACGCUGAAUGUUAUCUUUAACCAUAUACAUAUGUCUGAUCUUUUUUCUU